rnacentral:lncRNA from 1 species
CUCUUGUUCUAGGCACUAAUCUUGACACUGAGAUCAUUACUUAAUACCUGGGGGGUAUCUGUCUAAUGUUUGUUUGUUGUUUUUUUUUUUCCCUUUAUUUUUUCUCAUAAUAUAAAUUUACAUUUCAGAGUCCAUUCACAUGUGCUAACCUAGUUAUGAGCCAGCUUCACUCUUCAUGAACUUCCUGCCUACAGGCAUUUUUUGUAAAUUGCUGUAAUAUGAUAACUGGAAAUCCUUUUUACUAUCUCGAAACAGGAAAUAAACAUCCUGUUGUGAGAAGAGAAUUAGAAUGAUGCGUGAUGCCUCUUUUGUAAUUUACUCAACUUGGUAGAAUAUAUUAUGUAGGAAGGACUUUUAGGGCAUUAAAGCAAAGAUGACCAGCCAUAAAUCAACCUCUAUGAGAGCAUGCUGAAUCCCUGUUGAAUAGCACUUAGAUCAUUCUUGUUCAGCUUGAGCAUAGAAGGUGUUUCCUUAAAUGUCAGAAGUGUCUGUCUGCAGAAUGUACGUGGGGCAGGCUUUUGUAAAGUGGAGAUUGCCUUUUUAUUGGCAUGCAGAAAAGUCUUUGAUAUCUGGGUUCUUGAGGACAUUGGCAUCAAUUAUAUGAGAAGAAAGCAACCCUGUCUCAGCACUGGGCACAGAAAACAGCAUAUUCAGACCACCUACCCUUCCACAGUACAAUAAAAAAAUGUACUAGAUAUACCUGCACGUGUGUCUUCUAAGUCUGGGUUUGUAAGCAUAACCAGAAGACAAAAUAGAAAAGGGCAUUUGGGAUUUGCCUGUCUUUUUACUACUAAAUCUGAAUACAUUUUCUAGGGAAUAAGAAAUGACCUCAGUGGCGUCUGUUUAGCUGAGUUGGCUAGGUUCAGUGGUGUCUAAAUCCUUAAACGUUUCCUUUCUAUAUCUUCUCAUUUCACACAUGGUACUGGUCUCCUUUUCUAAACCCCUUUGGUAAAACCAUUCCCUUU